UUUUUUAUGUAUCCCGUGUUUCUUAACUUUCUUCACUGUACACCCCCACUACUACAAAAUAACCUCUCGGCUCUCUUUGUGGUACAAAUGGCAGAGCUCGUGCGAAGGCUCAACGGAGCUGCAAGGGGUGCGACGGGGCUCGGCUGUGUUUCAGACGUUACAGAGAGGGUGCUCUCGAUUGCGAAGGGCUUGCGAGCAGUUGACUGCGACGGUGCUUGGGGCAACGACGUGGCUUGGGCUCUCAACGGGGUUGGGCGAAGCGACGUGGGUUGGGGCUCUCGACGGUGGCAGCUGCAACAAGAUUUUACACAUAGAUACCGAAGAUUGAAAGAAUAUUCUCACUUUUAUUCCACUGAUGCCAGCUUGUGUGAAAGAGGAGAUGGUGGUGGCAAGUCACGAGGCUCUGCACUCAGUUAGGUAGCCUGCAAGUCACGAGGAUCGAGGUGGACAAGCUAAGCAUUUGACUCAACCCAAGGCUGAGAAGAAAGAGCUAAAACUCUACUUGGAUAUUUAAGAGAACCAAGACAAUUAUAUAAAAGAACCAAGGCAACAGGAAAUUCUUCUUCAAGUUGUUGGGUAUUAUUUUCUUUCUUGCUUGUAAGAAUUAUGUACAGUGAGGAUUUGAUGUAUUAUUUACAUCGAGAAUAAUGAAUUUUUAUUGAGAAUUAUAAUGAAUUUUCAUUGAGACUUAUUUAGUCUCAUGGGGA